rnacentral:lncRNA from 1 species
ACAAAGUGGCCAGCCCACCUUUUUCUCCAACGGAGAGAGAUGGCAUCUGCCACUUUCUCUGCAAUUUCAGGGAGCAGCGAGGUCUCCUCUUCCAUUUCAGUGGGCCGCCUUUCUCUCCCCGCAGAGUCGCGGUCUCUAUCUCAUCUUCUCUCGAUCUCUCUCUCCGCGGGGAGCGCGGAUUUAAUUCCACCGUGUGCACUGGCGUAAGACGAUGUCGAUGGAAGGGGAUUGGAGUUUACGAACACCGGCGAUAGAGAAGGUAGGGAAUGGAGCUGCGGUGUGACCUAUGGAAACCGAAAAUUUGAGUCUUUCCGGAGAAUCGUAACUGUACGAAUUGGACGAAUCGUGCAAGUGAUGAACACGAUGAAAUUUUUUGUCAAGACCUUGGAAGUUACCAAUUCCGAGAGCGAAGUACUAGUGAUUGGUAAACCAAAAGAGACAGCUCCACUGAGAUAAGAAGCGACUCGGACCCCGACGAGAGCACCGCCGUUCACAACACUCUCGCCACCAUCGAGAAUUUGAUGGAGGUGAAGCACGGAACAUUCCCCAAAAAUCUGAAACGCAGAUCUUUCCCCAAAUUAAAAAUUCCUGUGAAUUUCAUAGGCGGACGACGGGAAUAGAGAACUCCUUACCCUGAAAUUUCCGAGGGAUCCAAAGGCGACGAGACGUGCCCAGAUGUUUACGAUUUUGGAUUGAACCCAAUUUUUACAUCUGGGUGGAUGCCAUUGCCAUCUCUCUCCUUGGAGAAGAAGGUGGGUGGGCCCCUUGUAAUUUUAAAUUUUGUUUUAAUUUAUUUUUAUUUUGAAUUUAAUUAUUUUAAUUUUUAAGUAUUUUUAUUUUCCAUGUCAUCAAAACAUUUGGACCUUAUAUUUGUUACGUCAUCACUUAACUGUCAAACUAAUGAUUUGAUUAACGGAUAUAUGAAAUUGCAAUGAAAUGAUAAUUAAAGUAUGAAAUUGAAAUAUUUUAAAGAUAAUGUAUUAGUUUUAAAGAUAAUGUAUUAAUCUUAAAGAAUUUGAAAAA